UACGGAGGGUGCAAGCGUUAUCCGGAUUCACUGGGUUUAAAGGGUGCGUAGGCGGGCAGGUAAGGCAGUGGUGAAAUCCCCGAGCUUAACUUGGGAACUGCCGUUGAUACUAUCUGUCUUGAAUACUAUGGAGGUAAGCGGAAUAUGUCAUGUAGCGGUGAAAUGCUUAGAGAUGACAUAGAACACCAAUUGCGUAGGCAGCUUACUACACGAUCAUUGACGCUGAGACGCGAAAGCGUGGGGAGCGAACAGG
rnacentral:rRNA from 1 species